AUUGAACGCUGGCGGCAUGCUUUACACAUGCAAGUCGAACGGUAACAGGUUAAGCUGACGAGUGGCGAACGGGUGAGUAAUGCAUCGGAACGUGCCCGAUCGUGGGGGAUAACGCAGCGAAAGCUGCGCAAAUACCGCAUACGAUCUGAGGAUGAAAGCGGGGGACCGUAAGGCCUCGCGCGAUCGGAGCGGCCGAUGUCAGAUUAGGUAGUUGGUGGGGUAAAGGCUCACCAAGCCGACGAUCUGUAGCUGGUCUGAGAGGACGACCAGCCACACUGGGACUGGGACACGGCCCAGACUCCUACGGGAGGCAGCAGUGGGGAAUUUUGGACAAUGGGCGAAAGCCUUAUCCAGCAAUGCCGCGUGCAGGAAGAAGGCCUUCGGGUUGUAAACUGCUUUUGUACGGAGCGAAAAGGCUCUCUCUAAUACAGGGGGCUCAUGACGGUACCGUAAGAAUAAGCACCGGCUAACUACGUGCCAGCCGCCGCCGUAA
rnacentral:rRNA from 1 species